AUUGAACGCUGGCGGCAGGCCUAACACAUGCAAGUCGAACGAGUGGCGGACGGGUGAGUAAUGUCUGGGAAACUGCCUGAUGGAUGGGGAUAACUACUUGAAACGGUAGCUAAUACCGCAUACCAUCAGAUGUGCCCAGAUGGGAUUAGCUUGUUGGUUGGGUAACGGCUAACCAAGGCGACGAUCCCUAGCUGGUCUGAGAGGAUGACAAGCCACACUGGAACUGAGACACGGUCCAGACUACUACGGGAGGCAGCAGUGGGGAAUAUGGCACAAUGGGCGCAAGCCUGAUGAAGCAAUGCCGCGUGUAUGAAGAAGGCCGUCGGGUUGUAAAGUACUUUCAGCGGGGAGGCGUUACCCGCAGAAGAAGCACCGGCUAACUACGUGCCAGCAGCCGCGGUAAUAC
rnacentral:rRNA from 1 species